CAGAGUUCAUGCCCUUCGGGGUAGAUCUCCCACCCUUGCGUAUCAUUAUAGAAUGUUGCUUUGGCGGGCCGCGCCUAGCGUGCCUGGAUUCGCGUCCAGCGUGCCCGCCAGAGGACCCCUAAACUCUGAAUGUUAGUGUCGUCUGAGUACUAUUAAAUAGUUA
rnacentral:misc_RNA from 1 species